rnacentral:sRNA from 1 species
AUCAAGACAGUGAGAAGCGACAACGGAACAGAAUUUCUGUGUUUGACU